UUUUCAUAAAGUGAAAUCCUCAAUUUAGGAGUUGGAUAAUAAAGUACACAUCACGACGAGUUCGUGGAAAUUUUCGGGGAAUUUUUCGGAUACCCGAGCUAUUUAUAGCGAUUUUCAGAAGUUAUGGGAUUUUAGAAAAAUGAUUUAGAGAAAAAGAAAUUGCCUCGGUGCGAUCUGGACCGUUGGUCAAGCACCGCUUGAUCCUAGCCGUCCAUUAUUAUUUGGACAACUCUAUAUAGGUCUGUGAAUAGGGGAAAGCCCAGAAUGAUCGAGAGAGAGGGAGAGAAAACCAGAGUCUCCGACCCGGAACGCGACCGCGACUGGGUCCGACGGAAAACGCUCCUCCGGCCACCUCUCCACGGCGGACAACCGGCAAUAGCUUCGUCUCUCUGUCUCUUACGUCCCUGUGGUCUCAGAUCAUCCAUGCAACGAUCGUGUACAGAGAAUCGACAACGGGAAGCUUCGAACUGUCUCAGGCGAUUUCCGUGAGUUCAGGCGAUUCCGGCCACCAUCUGGGCUGUAAUUGCUUCUCCGUCUUUCCUGGGCUCCAUCUCUUGCUCAGCUGCACCUGCAAUUCGAGGUUCCUUUUCGAUCUAGCUGAUCACAAGGUGAGUUGGGUUCUGUUGAAGGUCUGAGAAUUUACACUUCUGGAAACUGGGCUGCCUUGUAGCAUGCAUGCUGUGAUGUUGUGUUUGAGAAGAGUAAAUUGGUAGUUAGUCAGAAGAAAUCGAAAGCUAUGUUGUGAGCUUGCUGUUUUGUCCAUGUUUGCUAAGAUUGUAGUUGUUAAAUGAUUUUGGUGAUGGAUGUUGUAGUAUGUUUCUUAUUCUGGUGAAAAUGACAAAGCAUAAAUAUGCAAGUAUGCGUUUAGUUGAA